rnacentral:rRNA from 1 species
UGAUCCAGCAAUGCCGCGUGAGUGAUGAAGGCCUUAGGGUUGUAAAGCUCUUUUACCAGAGAUGAUAAUGACAGUAUCUGGGGAAUAAGCCCCGGCUAACUCCGUGCCAGCAGCCGCGGUAAU